ensembl:lncRNA
GUUAUAACGAGGCUGAGGGGCAGUAAUGAGGUUGAGGGGCAGUAAUGAGGCUGAGGAGUUGUAACGAGGCUGAGGGGUAGUAAUCAGGCUGAAGGGCAUUAAUGACGCUGAGGAGUUGUAACGAGGCUGAGGGGCAGUAAUGAGGCUGAGGGGCAGUAAUGAGGCUGAGGAGUUAUAAUGAGACUGAGGAGUUUUUUUUAAGCUGAGGGCUGGUAAUAAGUCUGACAGAAGUAAUGAGGCUGGGGCAGUAAUGCGGCUGGGGCAGUAAUGAGUCUUGGGGCAGUAAUGAGGCUGGGGCAGUAAUGAGUCUUGGGGCAGUAAUGAGGCUGGGGCAGUAAUGAGUCUUGGGGAAGUAAUGAGUCUUGGGGCUGUAAUGAGUCUUGCGGCAGUAAUAAGGCUGGGGCAGUAAUGAGUCUUGGGGCAGUAAUGAGUCUUGGGUCAUAAUGAGUCUGGGGCAGUAAUGAGUCUUGAGGCAGUAAUGAGACUGGGGCAGUAAUGAGUCUGGGGCAGUAAUGAGUCUUGGGGCAGUAAUGAGUCUGGGGCAGUAAUGAGUCUUGGGGCAGUAAUGAGUCUUGAGGCAGUAAUGAGACUGGGGCAGUAAUGAGUCUGGGGCAGUAAUGAGUCUUGG